AGAAACCCUGACUGGCUCUAUUUGACCUCAACUGCUGGUGAAAUGUCUUCCUACCCAGAGGGGACAACCAGGUAGAGAAUUCCCAGAGAUGGACCCAGAAUGUUUGUGCCACAACCCAAUGCUGAGGGAUGCAGAUGGAUGGAGGACUGGGAGAUCCAGGCCACUCAGCAUUGGGAGAGCAGAUGGACCAGAACCGAUGUAGCAGAAGAUCAUUAGGAUGGGAAGUCCAUGCAGGGUCAAGGCCUGGUCCUCCUUACUGCUCCAAUCAGCUGGUGUUCAGGAACGGCCAACCAUUUACAGGAAGCUGGGGAUGCAGCAACCAGAAAAGAUAAGCUGUUACUUCCAGCAAGUGGCUCUCCCUCUCCAGGCCUCGGCCUUCCGUUCUAUAAAAUGGACAUAGUAUCGCCUGCUUCACAGGGCGGCCAGACGUCCUGGGUGAGAUGACGUAGGUGCAGCUCUCCCGGCUCUCAGCCCAGCACUUGCUCACCGCAUCCUGCUGACUCUCCCCGCAUCCUGGGUGCCAUCCCAACGCCUCCAAGUGACUCCUGCCACACUUCUGAGAUGUCCAAGAAUCCCACCCCUAGAUGAUAGAUAAUUCAGGCAGGUCUGGCCUAUUUGGGGUGUCUCCCCCCGACAACUGCAGCUUGGGGCUGGACGGACUUCCUGCAGGAUCUCCGCAGCCAUCUUGUCUCCGGCCUGGACCACGAGGCCCUCCAUCACGUGCCCCAGCUCCCCACCAAUCUCCCAGGACCCUUACGGCACACUCUCCACUCUGCCUGCAAACCUCUCCAGCGGCCUCCAAAAAAACUGCUCUCCAUCUUGCCCCUUGCAUUCGAACCUAUUUUUCUU